GACAGAGGGUGCAAACGUUGUUCGGAAUUACUGGGCGUAAAGCGCGUGUAGGCGGCUUUGCAAGUCGGGCGUGAAAUCCCACGGCUCAACCGUGGAAGUGCACUCGAAAACUGCAGAGCUAGAAGUCCUGGAGAGGAAGGUGGAAUGCUUGGUGGUAGAGGUGAAAUUUCGUAGAUAUCAAAGCGGAACACCGGAUGGCGUAA
rnacentral:rRNA from 1 species